UUUUGAACAAUUCUUGAGAGAGAAAAAAAACAGUGAUUCUUUUACGUCCUGACGCAAUAACGUCCGUACGUCUUUGCCUUGCGUGCUUUAAAAUAUUCCGAUAAAGCCAUAUUAGGUUUUUGUAAAACCAUGUCAUUUAGGAUACGCGUUAAUAAAAUUAUCAAACAAUCGUCGUAAAUACAUUUAUUUUGUAACAUUACUGCUCUUUGGCCACUAAUGUAACUUUUAGCGCGGUAAAAAUAAAUAAAUAAAUAACAAUAAUAAUUGUAAGCACGAGCUUUUGAUUCGGGAACAGCUUGGACCGAUUAGUGGAGCCAGGAAAUGAUCAGACUGGUUUUGGGAACCGCGUUAAGUGAUUCAAUGAGAAGAUUAACCUCAAAAGAAACCACGCUUUCAAUCGCGGGAAUUUCUACAAACGCUGGAAUCUCCCCCUUCACACGGAGGGAUUUUAUAUGAUGUCAUGACGCGGGAAGGCAAAACGCACACAUCCACUGACACAGCUGUAAUACAUUCCCACGCAAGCGAGACCACCAUCCCGCCUGAAAAGCCUGGACAUCCGUAGUGAAACAUGUCUGGAAUCGGCUUUCUGAAGAUCUACUUCAUUGGAACCGCGGUUUCUUUUCUGGUGGCUCUGUUUGGACUGGUUGAUUCAGUCGGGGGUCUGAUGUAUCCUCAAGCCCCAGACUGGGCAGACGACAGCUGGACAGAGAAGCAUCCGACCGUGUCUCCAUCACAGACUGCUGCUGCCAGCAACACCAAGCGCAACGGAUCGACAUGAUCUUCUCCGCUACCGUGGCUCGAGAGUCUAGCCUCGGGAAUAAUAGCCUCGGUUUACUGACCUACUAAAGCCUACUGUGGAACUACAAUCUUCUACAAUUUUCACUACUGCGGUCUGUGUCGUGUGAAAUAUGAGACAUGAACACAAUGGCUUGUGAGGUGCCAGCUCUUCACACUCGUUACGUUUUUACUUUGUUAUUCUGGUUUCUGCAAAAACUUUAAAUGAAAAAAGGGAAAAAUUCUUCCGGAGAGGUUGAAAGCAUAAAAAUACUACAAAUAUGCAACAUGAAUUUGCUGGGCUGCCUUGGAAUAUUGAAAUCCCUCUGUGGUCGAUUGUUUUUGUAAUGGGUUUUAAGUAGUUUUUGUAAUGUUUGUUCCUUUUUUAUAUGCCGUUUAUAUGAAGAUAAAUGUAACACUCAGAAUGUAAACAUAUGUGUAAGAUGCUGUUUACCAUGAGCAACUGUGGCAUUAGGCAGCAAAAAGUGCACUCCCAAUAUGGCUAAAGGGUGUCUAAAAGAUAUCAGCUAGAUAUCUUUCAAAUAGAUAAGUUGGGUUAUGUUACUGAAAUUCACUGUUUUGUAUUGAACUGAAUACAAUGUAUACAGUUGCAUUGUACAUCACUAAAGCAGCCUGUUUUUGUGCUCUAAAAAGUUGUCAAUUUUAAUUAGAAAAAUUUCCAUUUGCUAAACUUUCAAAUUACUUAUUUCUAGUCAUAUUUUUGCUAAACUUUGUGUGUUGUGAACUUGUGAUCAUAACUGUUUAUUGUGAAAUGUUGUUAAUGGUGUGGAUUUUCCAUUGAAAUACUCUCGUCUUUACCUUUUACAUGUCUUUGAAAAGCUGUAAAUUGCAAAUUGGCAGCUUUGGAAAAAAAAAAAACCUGUCAUAGAUGAUUAAACAACAUUACUAUA